UACUCAUAUAUAUAUGACAAAUUCAAUUUCGAAGUUGGUCAUUUAAAAUUUUUCUUCCCUAGGGUAGGCUGAGAAGAUUUCUGCAGUUUACGAUUUUACUUCAUUUAUCCAGGUUCCUUUUUCAGACGUCGUACAAUAUCAGUGAAAAUUCCCAACAAUAAAGAUCUACGUGGCUGUUCUCUUGAUGUGCAUCAUCUGCUUUCAGGCCCCACAAGUUCUAGGAGCUAGAAUCAAGAAGGUAAACAUUGCAGCCUAGGUUUACCUGAUACAUGUUUUGAACCCGCCGAUCCUUGUAAAACAGCACACUGCCCAGCUGGAUAUAAAUUUAUUCCAUGUUUAGACUGUGCUAGCUUUGUUUGUAAAUAUUUAUAGCUUCAUGGCUAUAAAUGAGAAAACGAUAUAACAUAACCGCCAAUUCAAUUAUGUGCCGGACAGCUAAUGAUGUUGUUCAAUA